UAUGUCCUAAGGGGGGAAAAAGGCAAACAAUCGAUAGUGUACAGCACGCGGGAGUAUAUAUAUAUAUAUAUGUAGAGAAGGGCCGUGAAAGAAAAGGUAUUUCUGACAAGGUUGUUGUUAUGUACACAAAAUCCUUUCGUCAUAAAUCAAUACGGAAAAAAUGAUGGACCGUGUGUAGUCUACAUUAAUGUACGGUUAAAAUAUAGCAGACGACACUUCCGGGUGAGAAACUUUUGUGUGUCGUGUGUGGUUGUUAUUUUAUUUUUCGGGAAUAAUGUAAACCACAAAAUUGUGAGACUGGCCCGGAUUUUUCACGAGUUCCGUUUCGAAAGGUAUAUCCUUAAAAAUUUAUUUGAUUUGACACAACAACUGCUGUAAAAAGUGAAACGUCAUGCUCAGUCAAAGGAUAUAGGGGAUUCCGGUGGCCAUUAUAUUAUUUUGGUCUGGGCAGCCGGUAAAUAUAUACACACAUAGGCCCAUGUUGCUGGGGGUUUUCAUCCUCUUUUUGUUUGUAUCUGCACACGUCAACAGCUGGUCCUCUUCCAUCUCUCUCUCAAUGGAUAGAAAAGAAGAAAAAAACAAAUUCCGCCCUCACAAAGAAACAAUAACUUUAAGCAGCAGUGAAUUUCAGCUCGAAAUAUUUUAUUUCCAAAAUGGCCGACUUCCACCCUGUUGAUAUAGAAAUUAACACGUGAACCUGUUUGCUGCAAAGAACGCUUUGUAUUGCUACUCGCCUAGCCACAAUCGUCAACAGCACUGAGUCCCCCUCUCUUAUUCCUUUGUCUGGGUAGGUCCUUCUCCCCCUCUCUUCUUUCCUGGCUAUCCUGCGUUGCCGCACUGUCCAGUUUGUUUAUCUUUUAUACUCAACACCUCCCCUCAAACUGGACCCCCAAAAAUAAACAUGAGCACAGAAUACACAGCAUAUUUGAA